CCUACGGGUGACUGCAGUGAGGAAUAUUGGUCAAUGGACGAGAGUCUGAACCAGCCAAGUAGCGUGAAGGAUGACUGCCCUAUGGGUUGUAAACUUCUUUUAUAUGGGAAUAAAACGUUCCACGUGUGGGAUUUUGUAUGUACCAUAUGAAUAAGGAUCGGCUAACUCCGUGCCAGCAGCCGCGGUAAUACGGAGGAUCCGAGCGUUAUCCGGAUUUAUUGGGUUUAAAGGGAGCGUAGGUGGAUUGUUAAGUCAGUUGUGAAAGUUUGCGGCUCAACCGUAAAAUUGCAGUUGAAACUGGCAGUCUUGAGUACAGUAGGGGUGGGCGGAAUUCGUGGUGUAGCGGUGAAAUGCUUAGAUAUCACGAAGAACUCCGAUUGCGAAGGCAGUUCACUGGACUGCAACUGACACUGAGGCUCGAAAGUGUGGGUAUCAAACAGGAUUAGAUACCCCAGUAGUC
rnacentral:rRNA from 1 species